rnacentral:rRNA from 1 species
GAUGAACGCUAGCGGCAGGCCUAAUACAUGCAAGCCGAACGGCAAGUUUGAUAGCAAUAUUGGACCUAGAGUGGCGCAAGGGUGCGUAACACGUAUGCAACCUGCCCGCGACAGGAGGAUAGCUCCCCGAAAGGGGAAUUAACCCUCCAUAACACCAUGAGAAGGCAUCUGAUUAUGGUUAAACCGCACGGGGUCGCGGAUGGGCAUGCGGUUGAUUAGCUAGUUGGCGGGGUAAAGGCCCACCAAGGCGGUGAUCAAUAGGGGUUCUGAGAGGAAGGUCCCCCACACUGGCACUGGGAUACGGGCCAGACUCCUACGGGAGGCAGCAGUAGGGAAUAGUGGAGCAUGGUUGCAAGACUGAUCCAGCCAUGCCGCGUGCAGGAAGAAGGCCUUCUGGGUCGUAAACUGCCUUUUCCUGUGGAUAAAAUACCCGUGCGCGGGGAAUUGAAGGUAACAGGGGAAUAAGCCACGGCUAACUACGUG